ACCUCUAUACCACAUUCUUGUGUCCUUUCUUUUUUAUAUUAUUUAAUAUAUGAUUUUGAAGUUUCUAGUUUGACUCAGUAUGUAAUGAAUUUAAUUCAAA